rnacentral:lncRNA from 1 species
UUUUUUUUUUUUUCUCCAGAAUGAGCACCUGUUAUGCUAUCAGGUUCUUAACUACACACAUUGAAGUAUUCUCAUAGAAACAUCAACCUUUUCAGAAUGCCAGAACCUUAACUUUGCAAUUAAGACAAUUUGGACUGACAAGAAUAUCACUGGUAUUAGUAGACCUCAGGAGAGUCUAUGAAAGUGAUAAAAAUCACCGCAGCCAACUUUUGGGCAUAACUGGCUAAGUAGCAGGAGGUGCAGGGUGUCUUCUAUGGGAAAAGGUCAAGAACUAAUAGUCACAGCCAGGUCCAGAUGAGUUGGAAACAAACGGAAACAGCCAACUGCAGACCAAAACUUCAACCAGUCUAAGGACCAUGUGGCACCACUUCUCAUACAUCAGUGAGAAAGAAACAAAAGGAGGAAGUGCAGGAGACACAUGGAAGGAGAUAUUGCUAAGAAUAGAGCUGGAGAUGUGCUCUUGGAAGAUGUAGUACUACAAGAGGUCUGAGGGACUGUGGAGCCAUAAUACCCCUGCAGCCUGGCAGACUAAGGCAGAGCUGACUGCUGAAAACUGUGGGAAUGGAGACUUUCUAGGGGAAAGAAAGGUAUUGAACUGAAGUUGAGGCUGUAGAGGGGAGAGGAAAACUGUUAGCUUAGGUGACCGUAAGUUGUAUGUCUAUUUUUCCUCAGUACUCAGUUCAGUAGUUAAAAGAUUAUGUUAACUGGCAAUAAAUCAAAUAAAGUGAAAUUCCCCA